rnacentral:rRNA from 1 species
CGGACGGGUGAGUAAUGCUUGGGAAUCUGGCUUAUGGAGGGGGAUAACUACGGGAAACUGUAGCUAAUACCGCGUAAUAUCUUCGGAUUAAAGGGUGGGACUUUCGGGCCACCUGCCAUAAGAUGAGCCCAAGUGGGAUUAGGUAGUUGGUGGGGUAAAGGCCUACCAAGCCGACGAUCUCUAGCUGGUCUGAGAGGAUGACCAGCCACACUGGAACUGAGACACGGUCCAGACUCCUACGGGAGGCAGCAGUGGGGAAUAUUGCACAAUGGGGAGAACCCUGAUGCAGCCAUGCCGCGUGAAUGAAGAAGGCCUUCGGGUUGUAAAGUUCUUUCGGUGAUGAGGAAGGUGUUUGUUUUAAUAGAGCAAGCAAUUGACGUUAGUCACAGAAGAAGCACCGGCUAACUCCGUGCCAGCAGCCGCGGUAAUACGGAGGGUGCGAGCGUUAAUCGGAAUGACUGGGCGUAAAGGGCACGCAGGCGGUGACUUAAGUGAGAUGUGAAAGCCCCGAGCUUAACUUGGGAAUUGCAUUUCAUACUGGGUCGCUAGAGUACUUUAGGGAGGGGUAGAAUUCCACGUGUAGCGGUGAAAUGCGUAGAGAUGUGGAGGAAUACCGAAGGCGAAGGCAGCCCCUUGGGAAUGUACUGACGCUCAUGUGCGAAAGCGUGGGGAGCAAACAGGAUUAGAUACCCUGGUAGUCCACGCUGUAAACGCUGUCGAUUUGGGGAUUGGGCUUUAAGCUUGGUGCCCGUAGCUAACGUGAUAAAUCGACCGCCU